GAUGAAGAACGUAGCGAAAUGCGAUAAGUAAUGUGAAUUGCAGAGUUCAGUGAAUCAUCGAAUCUUUGAACGCACAUUGCGCCCGUCAGUAUUCUGACGGGCAUGCCUGUCCGAGCGUCAUUUCAACCCUCAAGCACUGCUUGGCGUUUGCGGAUUGCGUGCCCUCGCGGCGCUGCAACCGCCCAAAUACAGUGGCGGUCCCGCUGCGGCUCCCUUUGCGUAGUAACUCACCUCGCACUGGACCGGGCGGCGGCCUGCCGUAAAACCCCAACUCACGAAAUGUUGACCUCGGAUCAGGUAGGAAUACCCGCUGAACUUAAGCAUAUCAAUAAGCGGAGGA
rnacentral:misc_RNA from 1 species